UACGUAGGGGGCGAGCGUUGUCCGGAUUUAUUGGGCGUAAAGAGCGUGUAGGCGGCCAGGUAGGUCCGUUGUGAAAACUCGAGGCUCAACCUCGAGACGUCGGCGGAAACCCUCUGGCUAGAGUCCGGAAGAGGAGAGUGGAAUUCCUGGUGUAGCGGUGAAAUGCGCAGAUAUCAGGAGGAACACCCGUGGCUAAGGCGGCUCUCUAGUACGUGACUGACGCUGAGACGCGAAAGCGUGGGGAGCGAACAGG
rnacentral:rRNA from 1 species